CUUGUACUUCCUCCGUUCGGAAUUAUUUGUCUCGAAAAUGAAUGUAUCUAGAACUAAAAUACAUCUAAAUACAUCCAUUUCUCCGACAAGUAAUUCCGAACGGAGGAAGUACUAA
rnacentral:pre_miRNA from 1 species